rnacentral:rRNA from 1 species
UUUGCCUACGGGGCGCAGCAGUAGGGAAUAUUGCUCAAUGGGGGAAACCCUGAAGCAGCAACGCCGCGUGGAGGAUGAAGGUUUUCGGAUUGUAAACCGCUUUCAGCAGGGAUGACAUCGACAGUACCUGCAGAAGAAGCCCCGGCUAACUACGUGCCAGCAGCCGCGGUAAUACGUAGGGGGCAAGCGUUAUCCGGAAUUACUGGGUGUAAAGGGAGCGUAGACGGCAAUGCAAGUCCGGAGUGGAAUGCGGCAGCUCAACUGCCGAACUGCUCUGGAAACUGUAUGGCUUGAGUGCAGGAGGG